rnacentral:SRP_RNA from 1 species
ACUCGGGUAAGUCCUACACGGCCAGCUCCCUUCCAACCCUCCAGGGCUUGACGGCAGCAAAGGUACCUAGGUUGUAGCGGCGCGAUGUAGCCCGCUUACCCAU